GCAAUAUAAAAUAGAAUUCACUAUGGAGUUGUUGCUGGCCUCUAGGGGCAUGUGCACGCUGUGACCUGCGGACACUAGUCUUUCAACCACCUGUGAACUUUUGAUAGAUCUGUGAAGUCGUCUCUCAAGUCGUCAGACUUGGUUGCUGGGAUUUAAACGUCUCGGUGUGACUACGCAGUCUAUUUACUUAACACACCCCAAAUGUAUGUCUACGAAUGUUAUUUAAUGGGCCUUGUGCCUUUAAACCAUAAUACAACUUUCAACAACGGAUCUCUUGGCUCUCGCAUCGAUGAAGAACGCAGCGAAAUGCGAUAAGUAAUGUGAAUUGCAGAAUUCAGUGAAUCAUCGAAUCUUUGAACGCACCUUGCGCCCCUUGGUAUUCCGAGGGGCAUGCCUGUUUGAGUGUCAUUAAAUUCUCAAACUCACUUUGGUUUCUUUCCAAUUGUGAUGUUUGGAUUGUUGGGGGCUGCUGGCCUUGACAGGUCGGCUCCUCUUAAAUGCAUUAGCAGGACUUCUCAUUGCCUCUGCGCAUGAUGUGAUAAUUAUCACUCAUCAAUAGCACGCAUGAAUAGAGUCCAGCUCUCUAAUCGUCCGCAAGGACAAUUUGACAAUUUGACCUCAAAUCAGGUAGGACUACCCGCUGAACUUAAGCAUAUCAAUAAGCGGAGGAAAAGAAACUAACAAGGAUUCCCCUAGUAACUGCGAGUGAAGCGGGAAAAGCUCAAAUUUAAAAUCUGGUGGUCUUUGGCCAUCCGAGUUGUAAUCUAGAGAAGUGUUAUCCGCGCUGGACCGUGUACAAGUCCCCUGGAAUGGGGCGUCAUAGAGGGUGAGAAUCCCGUCUUUGACACGGGGGCAUGUGCACGCUUAGGAUCAUUAAUGAAUUCACUAUGGAGUUGUUGCUGGCCUCUA
rnacentral:rRNA from 1 species